ensembl:lncRNA
UCACAGGAGUGUAGUUCAUGCUAAUCAGAAUGCAGGGCUGGAGAUCAAAUUCUGGGGAGAGAAUCCUGUACUGGAUGGAAUCACUCGGCUCAGUGUGGACACAAAGAUAUCCUAUGCCAUGGCAUGGAGGCUCCCAACAACUUCUAGGAUGAAUGUGAGGCACACAAGAGCCCACAGUGCAACCUGGGAGAACAUUAAAGUAUCUGGAAUUAUCAGGGACCCUAAGGUAUGUUGGGCAGGAUAUGGAGCUGAUGCAUGCUGGAGAAGGUGUCAUGAAGGGACAUGGGCAGUAGAGGGAGGUCUAUGACUGCAAGGCCUGCCUAGGCUCCAAUAAUCCAAACUGGGUACUGCAGAAUUUCCGAGAUCACAGCUCUGCAGUUACCCUUCUCAUGUCCUGGUUUUAACUACUGCACCCAACACAAAGCCUCCCUUGCAGUAUGUCUCAGAUCCAUUUGAGACUCUGCAAACCAGACAUCUUUGUAUGGAAUGGAAAAGAACCCUUACUGCACAUCUCAGGUUGUGGAGGCUGGUCCAUCCUGUCUGACAGUGUUUCUGAGGCACUGGUAUAGGG